rnacentral:pre_miRNA from 1 species
UUUGAAAAGUAUCACCAUUGUAAUCUCAUGUGGUAACUGUGAGUGAUUUAUAAUCUCAGAUUACUAUGUGAGAAUACAUUGUUGACACUAAUCGCCUC